GCUGGGCGUAAUGGCACACGCCUGUAAUCCCAGCCACUUGGGAGGCUGAGGCAGGAGGAUGGUAAGUUAGAGGCCAGCCUUAGCAACUUAGUGAGGCCCUAAGCAGCUUAGCGAGACCCUGUCUCAA
rnacentral:sRNA from 1 species